rnacentral:rRNA from 1 species
ACUCCUACGGGAGGCAGCAGUGGGGAAUAUGCGCAAUGGGGGCAAGCCUGAUGCAGCCAUGCCGCGUGUAUGAAGAAGGCCUUCGGGUUGUAAAGUACUGUCAGCGGGGAGGAAGGGAGUAAAGUUAAUACCUUUACUCAUGACG